GCAUGCUUUAAUGGAAAAAUACUAAAAUGACAAACUCUAAUUGUGCACUGAUAGUAAAUUUGACCAGGGUUUUGUUGUUUUCAUAGCCCUGCCUCUCCAAAGGAAUUCAGGAGACACCCCCUUACCCCCUCUUCCAGCCUGCUCUAAAAACAGCAUGUUGUGCUUGGCAGCCUGGAGGGAGGAUGAGGGAUGCUUUCUGCUGAAAGAACUGACUGAUUCACCCUGUCUCUGAAAACCAUGUCCAGUUUUCAAUGUCCUAUCAAAGUCUAUAUUCCUACAGAAAUCAGUAUGCUGCCUCUGUAGUCUCGGUUGUGAAUUCCAUUGGAGCUGGGCAAAUGAGUCACAUGAGGAAUUUGAGGGACAUAUAUUGGGCAUUUCUUCCUUCUGCAAGUUCCUCAAAGGUAAAGACGCCUUCCCUGUCAUCACCAUGGUCUGCCUGUGUCCUGACCUCAAGUUCCACCUUUGUGAAGAAAACAUUGCAAAUCUUUAUUCUGGCUGGAGUUAACAGAAUGUUUUUGCCACGAUGACUCAACAGAAACUGCCUUAUUCAUACAUAUUUUAUGCUUUGGAUAGGAAGAGAGCUCAAAAAAAGCAGCUCAGCUUCUAUAAAAAGAGUUUGAGGACCUAAUUUUCCUGGUUUAUGUCAAUAGAAUUUCAGUUGCAUGCAACACAAAUAACACCAUGGUGAAUCAGUCUUUUAGAUAACUAUCUAGAUAGAACAGCUAGAAGCUCUUCAAUUUUCAAAUCUUUUUAUUAUCAGCAGACCUAAGACUGUAAGACAGAAGAUUUGUAUUGUUUCCAAUGUCUUACACACACACACAAAUUAAAUAAAAAAGAGAGAGGAAAAAAAAAAUAGUAAUAA
rnacentral:lncRNA from 1 species